rnacentral:lncRNA from 1 species
CAUGAUUUCUUGGAUAGUUCCCACCGAAAAUUGAUCAAAGAAAUGGUCCAAAAAAAUAGUGUGAACAUGCUUCAAGUUGUAGAGCAAGAAGCAAAGCCAAAAUUAGGAUCUACGAGAUGAUCCACGAGGUAAGAGUCUCUUUUGCUCAUUCAUGAGGUAACCUAUUCGCAGUUCUCCUCCUUUUGUAGGUUUGUAGUUUUUGCUCAUUCUUCAAUAUUCCUCUAUUUUUU